GGCUGGCUCAUCACUAUUAUCUCCAUCUUUUUGAGUCGCUUCAUUGGAAACAUCCUUUCCAUUUGCCUCAUCUGAACUUGCUUUCUCACCAGUUGCCUGCAUAUCACUUUUAACUUCUGCAGCAUUUCCACUAUUUUCAGUGGGGGGUACCAAGCGUAUUCCAGCAAAAGGAUUUGAAGAUGGGGCAGAGGCAGUUGGACCACGACGUACUUUGACAAUUCUUCUCGUGGCUAGCACCUCUUCACUAGCCCGCUUGAAAGUUCCAGUCUCUUGCUC
rnacentral:misc_RNA from 1 species